rnacentral:lncRNA from 1 species
AAGCUCUUCACUACAAGAUCAAUCCGGUGUGAGAGGACGUCCAACCAGACCCAUUCAGUGCAUGGGGUUUCCUCAGCAUCAACGCGUACGAGCCCAAUGGUCAGGAACCAGCAGGGAGAGAGAUCUGUCGACAUGACGAGUCAUUGCCUAGAUGGGAGUAGGUUGUCCGUAUCGCCCCAGCUCCUAACCGGCGACCAUUCUCGAUCCUCAUAGAUAGUUGAGGUUCUU